UCUUUCGAGUGCGAAGUACCUGAUGUCACACUGCCAAGAAAAUCUUCUAGCGUUUAAUUAUAACCUACCCGUACCGCAAACCGACACAGGUAGUCGAGGCGAGUAGCCUCAGGUGAGCGAGAGAACUCUCGUUAAGGAACUCGGCAAAAUGACCCCGUAACUUCGGGAGAAGGGGUGCUCUACAUUUGUAGAGCCGCAGUGAAUAGGCCCAAGCGACUGUUUAUCAAAAACACAGCUCUCUGCUAAAUCGUAAGAUGAUGUAUAGGGGGUGACGCCUGCCCGGUGCUGGAAGGUUAAGAGGAGUGCUUAGCGUAAGCGAAGGUAUGAAUUGAAGCCCCAGUAAACGGCGGCCGUAACGAUAACGGUCCUAAGGUAGCGAAAUUCCUUGUCGGGUAAGUUCCGACCCGCACGAAAGGCGUAACGAUUUGGGCACUGUCUCAACGAGAGACUCGGUGAAAUUUUAGUACCUGUGAAGAUGCAGGUUACCCGCGACAGGGCGGAAAGACCCCAUGGAGCUUUACUGCAAGUUGAUAUUGAGUAUCUGUUGCACAUGUACAGGAUAGGUAGGAGCCAUUGAUCUGAGGACGCUAGUUUUCAGUGAGGCGAUGUUGGGAUACUACCCUUGUGUCAUGGCUACUCUAACCCGCAUGCCUAAUCGGCAUGGGAGACAGUGUCUGCUGGGCAGUUUGACUGGGGCGGUCGCCUCCUAAAGAGUAACGGAGGCGCUCAAAGUUUCCCUCAGCAUGGUUGGAAAUCAUGCGUAGAGUGUAAAGGUAUAAGGGAGAUUGACUGCGAGACUUACAAGUCGAGCAGGUACGAAAGUAGGACUUAGUGAUCCGGUGGUACCGCAUGGAAGGGCCAUCGCUCAACGGAUAAAAGCUACCCUGGGGAUAACAGGCUUAUCUCCCCCAAGAGUUCACAUCGACGGGGAGGUUUGGCACCUCGAUGUCGGCUCGUCGCAUCCUGGGGCUGUAGUCGGUCCCAAGGGUUGGGCUGUUCGCCCAUUAAAGCGGCACGCGAGCUGGGUUCAGAACGUCGUGAGACAGUUCGGUCCCUAUCCGUCGCGGGCGUAGGAAAUUUGAGAGGAUCUGCCCUUAGUACGAGAGGACCGGGGUGGACUUACCGCUGGUGUACCAGUUGUCUUGCCAAAGGCAUCGCUGGGUAGCUAUGUAGGGAACGGAUAAACGCUGAAAGCAUCUAAGUGUGAAACCAACCUCAAGAUGAG
rnacentral:rRNA from 1 species